AUUGAACGCUGGCGGCAUGCCUUACACAUGCAAGUCGAACGGUAACGCGGGGCAACCUGGCGACGAGUGGCGAACGGGUGAGUAAUACAUCGGAACGUGCCCAGUAGUGGGGGAUAGCCCGGCGAAAGCCGGAUUAAUACCGCAUACGACCUACGGGUGAAAGCAGGGGAUCGCAAGACCUUGCGCCAUUGGAGCGGCCGAUGUCAGAUUAGGUUGUUGGUGGGGUAAAGGCCUACCAAGCCGACGAUCUGUAGCUGGUCUGAGAGGACGACCAGCCACACUGGGACUGAGACACGGCCCAGACUCCUACGGGAGGCAGCAGUGGGGAAUUUUGGACAAUGGGCGCAAGCCUGAUCCAGCCAUGCCGCGUGCGGGAAGAAGGCC
rnacentral:rRNA from 1 species